rnacentral:rRNA from 1 species
GACCAAGGAGUCUAGCAUGUGCGCGAGUCAUUGGGACUCUGAUAAACCUAAAGGCGCAAUGAAAGUAAAAGUCCGCCUUGCGCGGACCUAGGGAGGAUGAGACCGUUCUCGGACGGACUCCGCACUCCCGGGGCGUCUCGUUCUCAUCGCGAGAAGAGGCGCACCCAGAGCGUACACGCUGGGACCCGAAAGAUGGUGAACUAUGCCUGGUCAGGACGAAGUCAGGGGAAACCCUGAUGGAGGUCCGUAGCGAUUCUGACGUGCAAAUCGAUCGUCGGAACUGGGUAUAGGGGCGAAAGACUAAUCGAAC